AAAAUAGGAGCCCGGCUGUGGGUCAGGGCAGAUACCUUCAAGGCUUUUCCCAGCCAGGCCCGGCCCCGGGGCUGCUGCUUGCUGUUGAGGUUGAGGGCUGAUAAAGAAAGACUUCCUCCAACUUCUAAGGUCCACAAAGAGCAGAGAACAUCCUGGUGUUCUGGAGGUCAGAGUGUCUGAAAAGAGUCUCACGGGACUAAAACCAAGGUGUUGGCAGCAUUGGUUCCUUCUGGAGACUCCAGCGGCGAAGCCGUUCCCUGCCUCUUCCAGCUUCCGGAGGCUGUCUGCAUUCCCUGGCUUGGAUGCAUCACUUCAACCUCUGCUUCUGUGGUCACAUCACCUUCUUCCACUGCUCAUUCUGAUCUCCUACCUCCUCGUAUAAGGGUCCUUGUGAUUACACUAGGCCCACCUGGUGGUGGGUCAUCCCAGCUAAUCCAGGAUAAUCUCCCCACCUCAAGAUUCUUGACGUAAUCUCACUUGAAAAGUCCCUUUUGCCAUACAAGGCAACAGUCACAGGUUCCAGAGCUGAGGACGUGGACAUCUUUGGGGGGUCAUUUUUCAGCCUUCCACAGAAGGCAAUUGUAUUCCCAUACCAUG